CUGCUUAGAGGUUAAGCCCGAUGAACCUGAAUAUCCAUUAUGAAAAAUUCAUUAUUAUACCUGUAAUAUUAAUUUUAUUAAUAUUAUGGUGAUGGUAUGCAUUUUUUUCAUAUAAGGACAUUGUAAUCUAUUAACAUAAUAAAAUAUUUAUCAAAAGAUCAUUGGUUUUAAGUUUAUUCAAAUUAAUUUGCUUUUGCCUUUNGCUUAUUAACAUAGAAUAAAUACUAGUGAUUUGAUAAAGUGUUGAUAGAUUUUAUUAUAUAUAAUGCUAAAAUUCUUUGGAAUUUUACAAUAAUUNUAUAAUCUAUGAUUUUAAUAUUUAUUGUAUGCAUUUAUAUGAUUAACAAUGCGAAAGAUUCAGGAUACCUUCGGGACCCGUCUUGAAACACGGACCAAGGAGUCUAACAUAUGUGCAAGUCAUUGGGUUAUUUUAAACCUAAUGGCGUAAUUAACUUAACUAUUAAUAUUUUAAUGGGAUUAGUUUUUAGUCUAUUUUUAAUAGUCUAUUAAUUCAAUCCCGGGGCGUUCCAUAUAGUUAUGUAUAAUGAUAAUUUAUUAUU
rnacentral:rRNA from 1 species